rnacentral:snRNA from 1 species
GUGUCUAACCGCAUCAUAU